CAGGAAAUGAGUUAUAUGAGCUGCACAGUAACUUCUGUCCCACCAUGUGAAGGUGAAAGCCACACUGGUUGCUCACCUGGUCAGUGCAGCGUUUUCCACUGCUGUUCUUGGGCUGCUGUCCCGUCACCUGCCUUACCGUCAGGACACGUACCACUGUGAGCACUGCAGGAGACUGGAGAUCUAUGCUGUGCAACAAUAUUGUUACAGGAAGUGCACUUAUACUGUCGAGAGAAAUUGUAAACUCUUAAUCGAUGGCUUCUUGGCCACACUGGUUCUGUUUCUGGUGGUGGAGUUGGUGAUCUGCAUUGUAACCAUCUUGUUUGGACUCAAUGCUCUGGCUAAAGGUGGCAUGCAGCUUCCUGGUUUUAGACAGCGUGCUGCCCCAUCUCAGCCCGAGGCCGUCACCCCUAGCCAACCUCAGGUGGAAGUGUUGGUGUCAGAGGUGGAGCCAAUGCCUGAGCGUGAACCUGAACCCAAAUCUGAACCGAUAGAAGAAAUCCCCAGCCCUCCCACUGAACCUCAAGUGGCGCCCAUUGACUCUUUAACAGAUGUUUGAUGCUUUGUGCUCAUGUGAUCUGUAUGUAUAUUGUAGAGAUUAGUGAGGUUUUAGCAGCAAGGGUUUUUGUAUUUUAGUGAUGUAUGAAAUCAACAUGAUAGGGCUUUGUAAAAUAGGCCAUUAUCAUCAUACUUAAAAAAGAUGGUUCAACCAAAAAUAGAAAUUCAUUUGCUCCCUCAUGUUGUUCCAAACCCAUGACUUUCGGUUACACAUUAUUUUCAGGUGUCCUUGUUACAGAGUAAUUAAGUACUGAGUAAU